AGCAGCCGCGGUAAUUCCAGCUCCAAUAGCGUAUAUUAAAGUUGUUGCAGUUAAAAAGCUCGUAGUUGAAUUUUAGGCCUGGCCGGACGGUCUGUCUCUGGCGAGUACUGUUCUGUCGUCGGGUCUAUCCUUCUGGUGAGCCGGCAUGUUCUUAAUUGGGCGUGCCGGGGGAGCCAGGACCAUUACCUUGAAAAAUUGAGUGUUUAAAGCAGGCUUUUGCUUGAAUAGAUUAGCAUGGAAUAAUAGAAUAGGACGUUGUGGUUCUAUUUUGUUGGUUCAAGGACCACCGUAAUGAUUAAUAGGGAUAGUUGGGGGCAUUAGUAUUCAAUUGUCAGAGGUGAAAUUCUUGGAUUUAUUGAAGACUAACUACUGCGAAAGCAUUUGCCAAGGAUGUUUU
rnacentral:rRNA from 1 species